rnacentral:rRNA from 1 species
GGGGCCUCUGGGUCCAACCUCCCACCCGUGUCUAUCGUACCUUGUUGCUUCGGCGGGCCCGCCGUUUCGACGGCCGCCGGGGAGGCCUUGCGCCCCCGGGCCCGCGCCCGCCGAAGACCCCAACAUGAACGCUGUUCUGAAAGUAUGCAGUCUGAGUUGAUUAUCGUAAUCAGUUAAAACUUUCAACAACGGAUCUCUUGGUUCCGGCAUCGAUGAAGAACGCAGCGAAAUGCGAUAAGUAAUGUGAAUUGCAGAAUUCAGUGAAUCAUCGAGUCUUUGAACGCACAUUGCGCCCCCUGGUAUUCCGGGGGGCAUGCCUGUCCGAGCGUCAUUGCUGCCCUCAAGCACGGCUUGUGUGUUGGGCCCCCGUCCCCCUCUCCCGGGGGACGGGCCCGAAAGGCAGCGGCGGCACCGCGUCCGGUCCUCGAGCGUAUGGGGCUUUGUCACCUGGUCUGUAGGCCCGGCCGGCGCCAGCCGACACCCAACUUUAUUUUUCUAAGGUUGACCUCGGAUCAGGUAGGGAUACCCGCUGAACUUAAGCAUAUCAAUAAGGCGGAGGAAGCA